UUAUUCUUUCACGACUAGAUUCGGCCUCCCAACGGGUCCCUCCAGAUGCAAUUAUAAAUAUAUCCACUGGGGAAGGGGACAAAGUCACUGAUUUGCCCUCAAAAUCAUCAUAACCCUAAUUCUUUUCCAGCAAGGAAGACGACUCACCGGCAAUUUUAAAGGAGGGACGAGGAGUUCCACGAGGGAGACGCCUGGGGGAAGCACUGAGCCGGAGAAAGAACCGGUUAGGAGCUUCUUGGGACCCCGGGGCUAUCAGAGGAACGACCAGCAUGGGGAGCUGCGGCACCGAGGACAAGCUGACACUACGUGUCACCUUUAGCACCCACUUGAGCAAGUGACAGAGAGGUGGAGAGACAGAUUGGAGAGAAGAGGACAUUGCCCAGUGGCUCCUUUUCACAUAGUUGUUUGAACAGAUCAACAGCAAAAGCCGAAUUUGCUAGCUGCAGGGCAUCCAUUGUGGGCCUGGAAGCAAGGACAAGGGAGCGGUUAGUUUCUAAAGCAUCUUUAACGUCUUCUCAACUGCAUUCUGCCAACACUGUAAGAAUUCUAUUUAAACAAAGUAAUUGAUCUCAGAAGAAACAAGGAACUUCCUGUAAAUUCAAAAGUAAGAUCAGUUGUGAAGAAACUGCCAGGCAAAUGUCCGAAGGCAUGUGAGGUCCUCUGUGUGUCCAGACUCUGCAGUCUUGGGCCUGCUCAGCCACAGUGGCCGUUGUCGGGAGCCCAGUGGUCACACCUCUUCUCCCGCAUAUGUCAGAAAAGUUGACAGCACUAAUCAACAUCACUUGGUUUUAUUUAUCACAUAUUGUUUCCAUUAGGAUUUCAGUUAAACUACAAAGUUAAAAUUUUUAUAAAACAAAAACAGUCGAACUGCAGCAGUUUCGCAUGGUUCAGCUUAAUAUUUAGUAAGUGUUAUGAGUUGAAUUGUGUCCCGCAAAAAGAUGUUAAGUCCUAAUCCCCAUUACCUGUGAAUGUGACCUUAUGUGGAAACAGGGUAUUUCCUAUUUCUUAACUAAUAUAUAAUUAGUUAAGAUGAAGUCACAUUGGAGUUAGGUGAGCCCUAAUCCAAUAUGACUGGUGUCCUUAAAGGAAUAAGAGAAGAGACACAGAAACAGACAUACACAGAGGGAAGAUGUGAAGACACAAAUGUCUUCACCUGUGUGAAGGACAUGCCGUAUGGCAAUGGAGGCAGAGAUUGGAGGGAUGCUUCCACAAGCCAAAGAAUGCUAAGAACUGCUGGCAACACCAGAAACCAAGAGAAAGUCGUGGAACAUUCUCCCCUACAGCGUUCAGAGACAGCAUGACCCUGCCGACGUCGUCAUUUCAGAGUACUGGCCUCCAAGCCUGUGGAUGAAUAAAGCUUCUGUUGCUUUAA